ACGCGUUUUGUGCAGCCGCCCGCGGCAACGAAUUAUCGUAUCGUAAACAUUCUCAAUGCCGUUAAUUGUUGUGCUUGAUAUUCUGGAUAUUCUUCUUAAUAAUUUCGUUUACGUGCACGCGUUAUGCGUGCGCCUAUAUAUUCGAUCGAAACGUCCAAGAGAAUGGCGCCGAUGAGACGGGCGAGUGUUUAAUUUUCCUAACGUUUUUUUCACUCGUGUCAAACGAAUUUGUUUGCAACGCCCUUUCGUAUUUUCUGUAGAAUAUUUAGAAACGUGCGUCACGGGUAAUUGCGCCGUUCAUUGAAUCCAGAACACACGGUGUUGUCCCGACCACAUGGAUUUGUCAAUCGACCGAUAAUAUUGGUGAAAUAACGUUGUUCGCACAGUGGCCACCGAAAUCGGAUACUAAUGUUACCGGCGAAACUCUGUCCAUAAUGCAACACUUCCGUCAGAAGAUUGGGCGUCUUAUAAAAUACGCCUGUUGGAGAACGGCAAAGAACAAUGUAAGUACCAAUAACUGAUUACAUCGUAGGUACCGUAUGUAUAUACUAUGCACCUAGGUAUUAAUAAUUAACUAUAAAAGAAAAGGUAUUCAUUUUUUAAAAAAAAAGGGCUGAUAUUGAAGAUUGGUGUACCACUAUUGUUGGUGGGAAAUCGGUAAGGUUAUGUGAUACAUAAUGUUCUCCAACUUAUAUCUCUAGGUACAUAACCAUAAACCGUUACUAACAAAAAAAAAAUAUUUGGAGUCAACCUCAGUGAUAAUAAUGUUUGGAAAUUUGUAAAUUGUAAGACUUUUUUCUAAAUUGUGCUUUAAAACAUUUUUGAAAAAAACUACACCAUUUUUUUUUUUUACUACUAAGGACAACUUAUAAUGAACCCUGUGUUCAAUUUGCAAGCAUUUCUGGUUUGUCAAACAAUUUUAUUCAUAUAAUAGGUACAUGCCUAUACAUACCAAUAGGUACCUAUAUAUUUUCUCAUUAUUAUAAUUAUUCAAACAAAAUCGUUUUUAUUAUCUUAUGAGUUUUAUUUUUUAUUUAGAUAACUUCAACAAAGCAUGGCAUACAAAAGUUGAAUAUGUUAAUUUCACCACUGAAAGUGAAGAGAUAUCUAAAAGUUUGAGAAAAUAAAAUGUAUACUGGACUCCGAAAGUGAUGUUGAAG